GGCUCCCUGGCCUGGGAGAGUUUGAGCAGAAGUGGUUCCCAGUGGGAAAGUGCGAACUUCAGGAUGGGCCGUGUGGAGACCUCUGGGGCUGAGACAUGACUAACACAUUUCCAUGCUGAAGGAUGUGGCGGACUGGCAAGGGACUAGAAUAAGAGAUGACGUCAGGGGAGGAGAACUGCUUGAUGGGUGUGAAACAGAGAAAAUCAGGAACCGGUUGUAACUUGUUCCUCAGCACCCCUAACUCUGAUAAGUUCUGCACAUGUCUCUUGUGGCUAACCCUAACCCAGAAUCAUAAGAGGAGGAAAUUCCAGGAAAUAUGGUCUUAUCUUCAUUGAGAUGGUAUGAAGCUAAGAGAGAUCCAGUUUUUCCCAAUGUUAAAUAAAGAACCUCUGCCCACUAAGGACUUUUACAGGA
rnacentral:lncRNA from 1 species